GAACUAGGUGCGUAUUUACAUUAGGUUUGAUCCUCUGAGAAAGGGGGUGUGGCCCCAGAGAAAGGAAGCCUCUGGUGCCCAGGCAGAGAGAAUGAGAAGACGGAAUCAUUCCCUCUAUAGCCCCAUUUCUUUCUCCAACACAGAAACUCAGUCAGUUCCUCUGUUCUGCCCAGCCCAGGCCAUGCACCUCAGUUUACUGUGCAGUGUGGUCUUUUGUCUACUGCAGGCAGGUCCAGUGAAUGCUGGUGUCAUUCAGAUCCCAAACUCUCUGCUCUGGAAGGCAGGACAGAAUGCAACUAUAAGAUGCACCCAAGAUAUGAACCUUGACACCAUGUUCUGGUAUCGACAGGAUCCAGGGCUGGGGCUGAGGCUGAUCUAUUACUCACUUUAUACAGGCAACAAUGAAAAAGGAGACAUCCCCGAGGGGUAUAAAGUAUCCAGGCCAAGCA